UUGGCUCAAACGACAAUGAGGAGCGAGCUGGGGAAGAUUUCGCUGGAUGCUGUGUUUGCAGAGCGUGAUGCCUUGAAUCAGGGAAUUGUUGAAAGCAUUCAGCCGGCU
rnacentral:rRNA from 1 species